rnacentral:rRNA from 1 species
AUGCUACACGGACCUUGUGGUGAGCUCAAAAAAAGUUGUCCUUGCAUGAUUGAGGGACAGUGUCGAUUUCAUUACCCGCGAGAUUUUUGCGAUGCCACACAGCAAGGGAAAGACUCAUAUCCCAUAUAUAGAAGGAGGGACGACGGGCAGAGGGUUCGGAUCAGAGGAGCUGAUUUGGACAAUAGAUGGGUAGGCCCUUACAACCCUUAUCUACUUAUGACAUACAACUGCCACAUUAAUGUCGAAGCAUGCUCGAGCAUUAAGGCAGUCAAGUACUUGUUCAAGUACAUCUACAAAGGGCAUGAUCGAACAUCAUUUGCAUUCGAGCAGGAUAUCAUCAAUGAAGGUGGAAUCAUCAAUGAAAUCCGACAGUAUAGGGAUGCACGCUAUGUAUCUCCUCCAGAAGCUAUUUAUAGGAUUUUCGGUUUUAAAAUGUUUGGUGUCAGUCCAUCUGUGCUACAGCUCCAGCUUCAUUUGCCAAACAUGCAUACGGUUGCAUUUAAAGCGUGUGAAAAUCUGGAAGAUGUUGUCGCUCGGCCAUCUUCUUCCAAGUCCAUGCUUACCGAGUACUUUCGGAUGAACCAGAAGUUUCCAGAAGCACGGAAAUGGCUGUACAGAGAGUUUCCAGAACAUUAUAGAUGGAUAGCUGGAAAUAAGAGUUGGCAGAAUAGAAAAAGUAAGAGAUCACAGAUUGGAAGACUUGUGUAUGCACACCCUGCUGAAGGAGAGAGGUACUACUUGCGUGUGCUCCUAAGUCAUGUCCGAGGUGCCACUUCAUUUGAUGAUUUAAAAAUAGUAAAUGGAAAGCCAUGCAAUUCCUUCAGGGAGGCAUGCGAGCACUUAGGCCUCAUUGAGCACGAUAGGACUCUUGAUGAUUGCAUGACGGAGGCAACCACAUUUCAGAUGCCUUAUGCCCUGAGACGGUUGUUUGCGACUAUACUGGUAUUCUGUGAGGCAACAGAAAUCCGACAGAUGUGGGACAAACAUCUAGCAUCAAUGUCUGAGGAUUACCGUCGUAAUCAAUCCGAUGAGGCAACACUUGAGCAGAUAGUCCUUAGAGAUAUUAGGGAUAUGUUACAAUCCAUGGGAAAGGAUAUUAGAAACUAUGGACUUCCAGAUCUGGUUGAGACCAAUGAUUCUUAUGACUCUGAGUACAAAGAAGUAAUAGAGGAGAGGCAAGUCACAGUGGACAAAGAACAUCUAGAUCUAUUUAACAGUUUGAACAAUGAGCAGUUGGCUGGUUUUAAUGACAUAAUGGAUCAUGUGAUGAACCAAAAAAGCCAGAUAUUCUUUGUUGAUGGUUCAGGAGGCACUGGGAAGACAUACUUGUACAAGGCCUUGCUUGCAAAGGUGCGUUCCGUGGGCCAAAUAUCAAUCGCAACUGCUACAUCAGGUAUAGCGGCGUCGAUAAUGCCAGGAGGACGGACUGCGCACUCCAGGUUCAAAAUUCCAAUUAAGCUCACUGACAACAGCAUGUGUAGUUUUACAAAGCAGAGUGGUACAGCAGAGUUGCUUAAACAGGCGUCCUUGAUAAUUUGGGACGAAAUCGCUAUGACAAAACGUCAAGCAGUUGAGACGCUUGAUAGAUCGCUCUAG